rnacentral:lncRNA from 1 species
AGGACAUAUCUCGCCUGUAUAGCCAAUUUAGCAAUGUCUCGGUGGUCGACGGCCGCGUCCGCUUUUCGGUGGAUCGACGUCAGUGUCUCCCUCCCAACAUCGUUUUUCCGGUGGCCCAGGCUCUUCGCCUCGUAUUUGACGCCGACUUGGAGCAGUUUUUUCGACCUUAGUAGCUUCACCACCAGCUUCGAGCCGCGGCGUUUGGCUUCGCUUUUGCGAUUUCCAAAUCUGGAUUUCUCCAGCUUCUACAUCGUCGACACCGUCGUCUGGUCUGUCGUCUCUGCCAUAGAGUCCGUCGUGCUUGUGUCCUUCCUCUGCUUCUUCUUCGUCUUCUGUGGCUGCACCCUGUGAUAUGUCACAAUAAUAUUACUUCAAUGUGCUGUAUAGUUGCUUCGGAAUGGUGAAUUUCCGAUGGUCGGCGGGAAUUGUCGCGGGAAUUUUGAUGUGGGUUUUUGUGGUGAUCCAAUCAAGGCACUUCACUGCUAGUGACUGGACGAUGCCUGAGGGUAAUUUUGUCUAUGUAAUUUCACUAAUAAUUUCUAUUCCAUUUUUUCUGCUUAAUUUUCACCUUAAUUUUUCUUACAAAUUAACUCUAUCUAAUUGAGAGUUUAUAAAAAGUAAAAUUAAAAUAAAUUUGGCUAUAUAACUAGAACUGGGCAUGAGGUAUAUGGUUCCCGAUUUGAAGAUUCAGAAACAUUUAUAAUUUAAUUAAAUUUAGUGCUGGUUUUUAAUUUACUUUCAUAAUUUUUUGUUUAAAUGAUUCAGAGCUGUCUAAAUUUUGAAUAAAGCCAUUUAGCGGAAGUGAUGGCAAUGGGACGGGUUCGGGCUGGGUGCUCCUGCCCCGUCUCGCCACAACACCGUCCCAUCCCAUUUCACCCCACUCCACCCCAUCCCGCCGCUGCCCCAUUUAACGGGACAGGGCGGGGCAGUUUUUUGCCUUGUUUGCUGUCUCAUUUAUUUAAUUUUUUUAAUACACAUUUUCAAAAUUUAAAAUUAUACUAUUAAAUUAUAAAAUACAAAUUUAAAAUUUAAAAAUUCAAAACAAAUAAUGCUCAAAUUAAUAUCAAUAUUUAAAGAAAUACUCAAAAAAACAAUAUCCAAAAAUAUUCAUGGGGCGGGGCAUCAUGCCUUGCCCUGCCCCCAUGAACCUGUCGAGGUGAGUUUUUUUGCCCCAUUCGGGGCAAGGUAAAUUGCCAUAUCUAAUUUAGCUAAACUUAGAAACAAGGAGUGAGGACUUAAUAAUAGGGAGUGGAGAGAUAGACUGUCGACUGAUAUGUCAGAAAAUGAAUGAGUGUUUUUGUUUUAAUUUUUUAAAUUGCCAAUCAUGCGUUGACACAUGCCGUGUCCCCCAUCUAUCCCACCAAAAAAAAAUCUGGAUUUGAGCUUGAACAUGUAGUAUGAUUGUUAAGUUUUAGUUAGAAUUGAAUUAAGCGACCGAUUCAAUCUGGUUAUAAUUCGUCGAGUCUAGAGAUACUAGAAAUAAAUUGGACUUUGCUACAUGAUUUAUGGAUUGAAAACCUCCAAUAGUAUUAGGCUAUAUUAAUUUUCCAAUGGUCUUAGAUAAUAAUCAGAAACAUAUUUAUUUUUGUGGUUUUGGACCUUUAUCAAUCAUAUUAGUCUUUGAUUAAAUGUUGUCUUUUGAUUAAUUAUCGUAUUUUUUUCCAUAUAUUUUGUCCCUUUUCCAUUUUAUGUACAUUGAAAAAGGACGACAUGACCUAGGUCUACCCGAAACCAAUGAAGAAAAUGGUAUCACUUCUUAAAUGACUAAUGUUUCAUUUUAUGUAAAUUUGUGACUUUGAAUUGAAUCGAUUGUAUUCUUUUAGUCAUUGUGCAUUUUGUGUGAGAUACCUUUCGUGAUGAAAAAAUAAUUGGUAAUAUUUCUUUUUCUUAUUUUAUUCAUUAAUUACUAUAUUUGAUGCUCAAUUCGUACAAAAUAUUUGAAAAUCAUUUUAAAUUGAACAAGUAUAUAUAUUCGUCUCACUUGCUCAAGCUAGAUGAGUAGAUCAAAAAAUAAAAAGUUAUUGGAGAAUCAAGACACAAGUGACUUCAUGAAGAUAAAAGUGUUGUAAAGUUAUACACCUUGUUGUUGAGGUGUCCACGGAUAUUUGUAUGGUCCCUUCUCCAAUCUCAUAAAUAUGCCAAAGUUUUUCAUCCCUGAACAAAAUUAAAAAAUAAAUUAAUUAAGGGUGUGCUCGAUACAGAAGGAAUGAACAAAAUUAAAAAAUAAGUAAAUUAAGGGUGUGCUCGAUAUAGAAGAACAAAUUUUGUUGUACGUUCGUCUUCUUUUACAUAUCCAUGCAUCAUCCAGGUAUUAAUAGCUUGUUUGAAAAGGUGUAUUAAAAAGAAAAAUACAUUAUAGUCUCUUUUAGUGCUAUAUUUCUGCUUUUCUUCUUUUGAUAUUUGUUUGAUUAAAUAUAAAUAUAUUAAUUAGCAUAUAUAUUUUAAUUGAACGAUCAUAUUUCACAAUUAAUUUUCUUAAACGACACACGAUCAUAGAUGUUUGCUGAGAAAGUAUAUUCCAUCAAUACUAUUUUCUCAGUCAACAUUUUAUACCUUCAAUUUGAAAUAAAUCCUAAAAGUCUAGCGUGCCCUGAUUUUUUGAUGCUCAAAUCCACGAGCAAUUGGUCAUUCUUUGACGAACUUCUAGUAUCCCCGACCAAUAAAUUUUUGUUUAAAUAUUAAGAUAAAUUCCUUCAGGGUUCUAACCUUUAUUAAGUGUGAUAGUCACGUUCUUAACUUUUCAUAUGCGCACAGUAUCCCACCUGAUUGAAAACGCCUAUUUAGAUGUUAAAAUAAAAAUCAAACUGAAAGGAUAUAAUUGCCUAAGAAGUAGCAAAAUUUUUGAACAUUCAUCGUUUAGUUUUCGGAAUAAAGAUUUUAUUUGAACAAUUUUAUCAUUUCAACCGGAGUCGCGGACGAAUUUAACAUCUAAAUUGACAUUUUCAGUUAGGUGAGGAUACCACGUGGAAUGUUAAAAGAUAGGUGACGUGAAUAGGGGCGGAGCCAUAUACAGUUGAGUGGAGGCCAAUGCCUGCGCUCAACUUUGGGCUGCCCCUGUGCCCCAGUUAAAGAAUUGCCACUGUUUUCCAUCAGAAUUGGAGAAGGACCUAGUAGGAGAAGAAGAAAUUUGGAAAAUGAAGGGCGGGUACGGGGUUCAUCAUGCUCCUUUGCAAUAACGAGACGAUGGAAAGGUCUGGUCAUGGCUGUUUUGGGUCAGAAAUUUGGAAAAUGAAGGGCGGGUACGGGGUUCAUCAUGCUCCUUUGCAAUAAAGAGACGAUGGAAAGGUCUGGUCAUGGCUGUUUUGGGUCUCGUGUUUCUUUCCAUGCUGGUUCCUAAACAACUUUUAUAAGCAUUUUACAAGUCACUUUGUUAUAAAGAAAUUUUUUUUUACACUUCAAAUUUGACCGUAAAUUAUGCUCACACUGAAAUUUUUUUCUAGCUCCGCCCCUGGACGUGAAUGCCAUAAAUAAAAGCUUGAGGAUAUAGCUGGCACACUUACGAAAAGUGAAGAACCUUUGGAGAAAUUUACCCCGAAAUAUUAUUCAUUUUGUAUUAAACUCAACAUCAAAAUUUUCAAUUCCAAACAAUUCG